rnacentral:lncRNA from 1 species
AGCAGUGGGAGACAGGUAAGACCCACUGGGGGGGGACACAUUGCCAUGCCUUACUGCAGCGACGCUUUCUCGGUAAACGGCAAAAUAAUAAUAAUUUGCUAUGUGUUAACCGUAUAGUUUUCCCACAUGAUUUUUGGGUGCGAUCUGAGAGAGUUGUUAGUUAAACGACGCUGCAGCGGCACUCACGGCUUCUUGUCUGUCUCCAGGUUCGACUUCCAGCAAGCGGAAGCGGGUGAGCAGAGGCAGGACGAGGGCCAGCACGCUCAGCCGGCGGCGGGGUGCCAAGCUGGCCCCCGCCCCCCAGCCGGAGGCCUCCACUCCCACCAAAGUGACCUGUGGCCAUGGGUUCUAACGAAGAAGGUUCAAAAAUAAUUCAAUGAGUGUCAAAACUGCAACUGCACGGUGCAGCUUAAGACAUCUGGCGGGUAGGUGCACGGACCGAACCGUAAGCUCCGUUCCACGC